rnacentral:rRNA from 1 species
GAUGAACGCUGGCGGCGUGCCUAAUACAUGCAAGUCGAGCGAACAGACGAGGAGCUUGCUCCUUCGACGUUAGCGGCGGACGGGUGAGUAACACGUAGGUAACCUACCUAUAAGACUGGGAUAACUUCGGGAAACCGGAGCUAAUACCGGAUAAUAUUUCGAACCGCAUGGUUCGAUAGUGAAAGAUGGCUUUGCUAUCACUUAUAGAUGGACCUGCGCCGUAUUAGCUAGUUGGUAAGGUAACGGCUUACCAAGGCAACGAUACGUAGCCGACCUGAGAGGGUGAUCGGCCACACUGGAACUGAGACACGGUCCAGACUCCUACGGGAGGCAGCAGUAGGGAAUCUUCCGCAAUGGGCGAAAGCCUGACUGAGCAACGCCGCGUGAGUGAUGAAGGUCUUCGGAUCGUAAAACUCUGUUAUUAGGGAAGAACAAACGUGUAAGUAACUGUGCACGUCUUGACGGUACCUAAUCAGAAAGCCACGGCUAACUACGU